UCGGCGGUGGAGGAGCUGCCCGUUAAGCUGGAGACGGUCCUUGCCAAGUCGGACUCCAACUUCAGCUGGUGUGCCUGGCCCGAGCCAUCCUGAGGAAGAACUGCAGCCUCAUUAUCAGACAUGCAAAAACUGAAUCUGGCCACGCGGGGUCGCCAAACCACGUGACACUGAAUGACCCUCCCACGGACUUCCGGUUACACACGUUCCUGGCUCACGUCCACGUUCGACAGCUGCAGAAUGGAGGUCUACGGAACGACGAACUAACUGCGGAUAAACACACGAGGAGAAGAUUCUGGAAACUACAGAGUGUUCCGGAUCGGGUUUUGACACGACACGAAUCUACUCGAGGUGUGAAGACGUGAGGACUUGAAGAUCAGCCGGACCUACGUGGGCUCGCUCCAUUGCACCUCAUGAGUCGUCUUCUCUGCACUGAAGCUCUGAGCUGCUGGUACUUCUCUGGCCCUGAACACCUGUCCUUACCUGUGAAGCCUCCUGACUGUCAGAGAUCUUGCUGCUGCUGUUGGACCUACGUGGGCUCACCCUGUUGCACCUGGCUAGGAGUGGUAUGCCAUGCCUGUGCUUCUCCUUUCCAACCUUGAUACUGACAACUCAGGGUUAUUCAUUCAUUGUAUUUAAAAUAUUUUUUUAUAUAUCUGUUAAUGUAGAUAAAUGUUUUUGUGAUUUUGAACUUAUUUUAAUUCAAUUUUUUACUUGUAUUAAAAAUAAAAGUGUGGCUUUUUUGAGUCAUACCACUGUCAUCCUA